GGAUCGAUGAUGACUCCCAAAAAAUGUAUCCCUUAGAUAUCUGAAAAAAAUGAGUGAGAAAUCCCUACCAUCUUCUCAUUGGAACUGAGGUCC
ensembl:snoRNA SNORD116 Small nucleolar RNA SNORD116